UACGAAGGGUGCAAGCGUUACUCGGAAUUACUGGGCGUAAAGGGUGCGUAGGUGGUUUUUUAAGUCCGUUGUGAAAUCCCUGGGCUCAACCUGGGAAUGGCAGUGGAUACUGGAAAGCUAGAGUGCGGUAGAGGGUAGUGGAAUUCCCGGUGUAGCAGUGAAAUGCGUAGAGAUCGGGAGGAACACCAGUGGCGCAAGCGGCUAUCUGGACUGACAUUGACGCUGAGGCACGAAAGCGUGGGGAUCAAACAGG
rnacentral:rRNA from 1 species